UUUAAUUCGAAGCAACGCGAAGAACCUUACCUAGACUUGACAUCUCCUGCAUUACUCUUAAUCGAGGAAGUCCCUUCGGGGACAGGAUGACAGGUGGUGCAUGGUUGUCGUCAGCUCGUGUCGUGAGAUGUUGGGUUAAGUCCCGCAACGAGCGCAACCCUUAUUGUUAGUUGCCAUCAUUAAGUUGGGCACUCUAGCGAGACUGCCCGGGUUAACCGGGAGGAAGGUGGGGAUGACGUCAAAUCAUCAUGCCCCUUAUGUCUAGGGCUACACACGUGCUACAAUGGUCGGUACAAUAAGACGCAAGCCCGCGAGGGGGAGCAAAACUGGAAAACCGAUCUCAGUUCGGAUUGUAGGCUGAAACUCGCCUACAUGAAGCUGGAGUUGCUAGUAAUCGCGAAUCAGCAUGUCG
rnacentral:rRNA from 1 species